rnacentral:rRNA from 1 species
AGAGCGAACGCUGGCGGCAGGCCUAACACAUGCAAGUCGAGCGCCCCGCAAGGGGGAGCGGCAGACGGGAGAGUAACACGUGGGAACGUACCCUUUGGUUCGGAACAACCCAGGGAAACUUGGGCUAAUACCGAAUAAGCCCUUACGGGGAAAGAUUUAUCGCCAAAGGAUCGGCCCGCGUCUGAUUAGCUAGUUGGUGAGGUAACGGCUCACCAAGGCGACGAUCAGUAGCUGGUCUGAGAGGAUGAUCAGCCUCACUGGGACUGAGACACGGCCCAGACUCCUACGGGAGGCAGCAGUGGGGAAUAUUGGACAAUGGGCGCAAGCCUGAUCCAGCCAUGCCGCGUGGGUGAUGAAGGCCCUAGGGUUGUAAAGCCCUUUCGGCGGGAAGAUAAUGACGGUACCCGCAGAAGAAGCACCGGCUAACUUCGUGCCAGCAGCCGC